rnacentral:rRNA from 1 species
UACGUAGGGGGCAAGCGUUGUCCGGAAUCAUUGGGCGUAAAGAGCGCGUAGGCGGCCCUGUAAGUCCGCUGUGAAAGUCAAGGGCUCAACCCUUGGAUGCCGGUGGAUACUGCAGGGCUAGAGUCCGGAAGAGGCGAGUGGAAUUCCUGGUGUAACGGUGAAAUGCGCAGAUAUCAGGAGGAACACCGAUGGCGAAGGCAGCUCGCUGGGACGGUACUGACGCUGAGGCGCGAAAGCGUGGGGAGCAAACAGG